rnacentral:rRNA from 1 species
ACGUAGGGCGCAAGCGUUGUCCGGAAUUAUUGGGCGUAAAGAGCUCGUAGGCGGUUUGUCGCGUCUGCUGUGAAAACCUAAGGCUCAACCUUGGGCUUGCAGUGGGUACGGGCAGACUAGAGUGUGGUAGGGGAGACUGGAAUUCCUGGUGUAGCGGUGAAAUGCGCAGAUAUCAGGAGGAACACCGAUGGCGAAGGCAGGUCUCUGGGCCACUACUGACGCUGAGGAGCGAAAGUGUGGGGAGCGAACAGGA